AUUGAACGCUGGCGGCAGGCCUAACACAUGCAAGUCGAGCGGAUGAAGGGAGCUUGCUCCUGGAUUCAGCGGCGGACGGGUGAGUAAUGCCUAUGAAUCUGCCUGGUAGUGGGGGAUAACGUCCGGAAACGGGCGCUAAUACCGCAUACGUCCUGAGGGUGAAAGUGGGGGAUCUUCGGACCUCACGCUAUCAGAUGAGCCUAGGUCGGAUUAUCUAGUUGGUGGGGUAAAGGCCUACCAAGGCGACGAUCCGUAACUGGUCUGAGAGGAUGAUCAGUCACACUAGAACUGAGACACGGUCCAGACUCCUACGGGAGGAAGCAGUGGGGAAUAUUGGACAAUGGGCGAAAGCCUGAUCCAGCCAUGCCGAGUGUGUGAAGAAGGUGUUCGGAUUGUAAAGCACUUUAAGUUGGGAGGAAGGGCAGUAAGUUAAUACCUUGCUGUUUUGACGUUACCAACAGAAUAAGCACCGGCUAACUUCGUG
rnacentral:rRNA from 1 species